rnacentral:rRNA from 1 species
UACGUAGGUGGCAAGCGUUGUCCGGAUUUACUGGGCGUAAAGGGCUCGUAGGCGGCCAACUAAGUCAGACGUGAAAUCCCCAGGCUCAACCUGGGAACUGCGUCUGAUACUGGAUGGCUUGAAUCCGGGAGAGGGAUGCAGAAUUCCAGGUGUAGCGGUGAAAUGCGUAGAUAUCUGGAGGAACACCGGUGGCGAAGGCGGCAUCCUGGACCGAUACUGACGCUGAGGAGCGAAAGCCAGGGGAGCAAACGGG